rnacentral:sRNA from 1 species
UUUUGUAUCUUGCAGUUUGGCUCGCACUUCACAGAUGUCUAGGGUCGCCCGCCUCUUCCCCUACCCCUCUUCCUGUCCGCAUGGCCAAGUCCAGCCAGGGUUAGCGCCGACCCCACUGGGGAGGGAGGAGGGCCCUGCCAGAGCUCGGGCCCUCCCACACAGCCGUGGACCAGACCCAGCCUGGCCGGGCAUGAGCGUCAGGCCUGGGCGGAAGCGGCCGGGACCCCUCUGUGGUGGGGGCUCAGUGUCAUCAUGGCUCCCCUGGCCACGGGCCUGUGGUCAUUGCCUGUGACAGGGAUGACGGGGACAGGCCUCCCUGGUCUGGCACGGCCUCUGGUGCUGGCAGGAUCCAGACUGCGGUGCUGACUGCACUUCCUGUCAGGCAGGGUCUCCGGGGCACCUCCGGGACCCAGCCUGGCUGCCAGUCCCAUGGCCCAGGUGUGCCCCGUGGCCUAGGGCUUUGUUGGUCACAGCCACCAGACCGUGGGUCUCAUCCCCACAGCAGCACCAGGGCAGGGACUGAGCCACCCACACACUGAGCACAGCCCCAGCCGUUUUCCCAGUGCAACGGGAAACCUCACCAACCCUGAAAACUGAAAUCCCUGAUCCUUGUGCUAGAGCUGAAUAUGCCCCUUGUCUCCUGGGUCCACUGCCACCAGGGCCUCCAGGCCCUCAUGGCAAAGGGAUGCCCAGCAUGGGCCCAGCCGCACCCCUGCAGGGCACAGAGCCUCCACCACCUUCCAGGCCGUCCUCGAAUGCGCUGCCCCCUCCAGCCUGUGCAGGCGUACACGGGGGUGCAGCUUGGGGGAUACAGUCAAGGGGAGCCCUUCUCCCACAGGAGGACAUUGGGGUGUGGGGCCUGGGGCACUGGUUCAGGUACCCCCUUAUCCCGGGCCAGGAAUGAGCUCAGUGACCACUUGGAUGCUAUGGACUCCAACCUGGACAACCUGCAGACCAUGCUGAGCAGCCACGGCUUCAGCGUGGACACCAGUGCCCUGCUGGACGUGAGUCGAGCCCCGCCUCCCCGCCCUGCCCCGCCCCGCCCCCGGGUGCUGUUCUGACUUCCCUCCCUCCUCCGCAGCUGUUCAGCCCCUCGGUGACCGUGCCCGACAUGAGCCUGCCUGACCUUGACAGCAGCCUGGCCAGUGUGCGUAGGCGGGCGGGGGGUGAGGGGGAAUGAGACCAGCAGGAGUGCUCACAAUACCGGAAGCAGCUGGUACACUACACAGCGCAGCCGCUGUUCCUGCUGGACCCCGGCUCCGUGGACACCGGGAGCAACGACCUGCCGGUGCUGUUUGAGCUGGGAGAGGGCUCCUACUUCUCUGAAGGGGACAGCUUCGCAGAGGACCCCACCAUCUCCCUGCUGACAGGCUCGGAGCCUCCCAAAGCCAAGGACCCCACUGUCUCCUAGAGGCCCUGGAGGAGCUGGGCCAGCCAUGGCCUGCCCACCCCCACCCCAGUGCAGGGCUGGUCUUGGGGAGGCAGGGCAGCCUCGCGGUCUUGGGCACUGGUGGGUCGGCCGCCAUAGCCCCAGUAGGACAAACGGGCUCGGGUCUGGGCAGCACUUCUGGUCAGGAGGGUCACCCCGGCCUGCCAGUCUGCCUUCCCCCAACCCCGUGUCCUGUGGUUUGGUUGGGGCUUCACAGCCACACCUGGACUGACCCUGCAGGUUGUUCAUAGUCAGAAUUGUAUUUUGGAUUUUUACACAACUGUCCUGUUCCCCGCUCCAUAGAGAUAUACAAAUAUAUACACACAGUGGAUGGAUGGACAAGACAGGCAGAGAUCUAUAAACAGACAGGCUCUAUGC